rnacentral:rRNA from 1 species
CGAACGGGUGAGUAAUACGUGAGUAACCUACCUUUAACUCUGGGAUAAGCCUGGGAAACUGGGUCUAAUACCGGAUACGACCAAUCUCCGCAUGGGGUGUUGGUGGAAGCGUUAUGUAGUGGUUAUAGAUGGGCUCACGGCCUAUCAGCUUGUUGGUGAGGUAACGGCUCACCAAGGCGACGACGGGUAGCCGGCCUGAGAGGGUGACCGGCCACACUGGGACUGAGACACGGCCCAG